CAUAGUUUGAAACAAAAAUGAAAAUGAGAAACUUUAGGCUAUUCACUGCUCCGAAAUGUUAAAAAUCUCCUCGUGCAUAUUGAGGCCAUCCAACCUAUUUGUCUAUUUAAUUUUGUUUUUUCAAUGAUCAACAUAAUUUUUAUCUUUCCUGCGCCGAGGAUCUAUCGGAAACAGCAUUUCUACCUUCCCACGGUAGGGGUAAGGUCUACGUAUACACUUCUCUCACCAUAAUCCACUUGUGGGAUCCCGCCGGAUUUUUUGUUGUUGUCGUUGUAAUGAUUAACAUAAUCCAAAUUCAUGGCUACCACACCUGUGUCUAGUGUUCUUCAUGAUACCACGUUGUGGUUGUCCAUUUAAUUAGUGACGCAGAAUGUUAUUAUCUCCAUGUUACUACGUUAGUAACCAGGUAUUAUGCAAAGACUUUACCAUGACUAAGGAUGCAAACAAAGAUGAAACACUCUUAUUUAAACUUGUUAGUAACCAGGUAUUAUACAAAGACUUUACCAUGACUAAGGAUGCAAACAAAGAGGAAACGCUCUUAUUUAAACUUCAUAGUACAUGGGUUUUAGAAUCUUGCCAAAUCUGUUCACUAGAGUCAAAAGUAAGAUGAUAACUUU
rnacentral:lncRNA from 1 species